GAAUAGCUAGUUUUUUGGAUAUGACCUAAAAAAAAACAGAGGUCCCAUGUCACGGAAGGAGUUAUAGCACGAUAAGGAACCCUCACUUCUAUGACCCCGAGUGUGAAGCAUAGAUCUAAAUUUGUGGUACUUCACCUACAGAUAGUGACAUCUCAGUAUGAGAGAGAAAAAUAUUGACGAGACAUAAAACAAUCAAUCAACAGAUUGAAUUCUGCGAUGCUGUGUAUAUAAGCAUAAAAUUUAGAUUUUUCAUUAUUACAUUUACAUACAUUGAUUAUGUAUGUUAAAUUUGCUACCCUUCAAUUCUAUUUGAAUUUUGUUCAUGUUCAUCUUGUAUUGCAGGCUAUUGAGAACACUUCAAAAAAGGUUCAUUAUGUAGUAAAGGUUGUUGAGGUAGAUUCUGCUGCACCUGAUGUGAAAACCAAGAUUCAGAUUCCAUCAAUAUCAGCCGUGAAUAAUUUCAAGUUUGAGGAAAAUGGUAUCAGAGUUUGGAAACAUUACAAAAUUGGACCAGGCAAAUUCAUUCCUUAUUGUACAGAAGAAACAGUUGUGCCACCCUCACUUGAAGUGUUGGAAAAAGCAAGAGAUACUGUAGACUUCCAUGCACUUGUCCAAUCAUCUGUGCAAUCCGUAAAUCAACAGACUGAUGGAAUAUUUACUUGUUCGAAUGAUGGCUGCAUGUCUUCAUUCAAUUCUCACCAAGAACUGCAUAAUCAUGCCAUUUUGGAUGAGUGAAAUGUGCAAUCAGAGAAGAUUAAGAAAUCAGAUGUUUUAAAAACACAGUAUAUUAAAAAAUUGUCUGAGACACAGGUUACAUCCAAAGAAGUUACAUUAUCUGGUAACUGCUCGGAAAUAGAAAGUAGACAAACUCUCUCUCAAGGAUGGGGCAUUAAACUGGAAAGGAAAAACAGGAGAUUCACUGAAAACCAAAAGAGUUUUUUGAUUGAGAGGUUUAACAUUGGAGUUCAGACAGGACGUAAAGAAGACCCUGAGAACGUAUCAUUGUUAAUGCGGAGCAUAAAGAAAUUUGAUGGCUCAAGGCGCUUUGUUUUAACAGAGUUCUUAAGCUCACAGCAGAUAGCUAGUUUUUUUUCUAGACAUUGUCGAAAAAAUGAGGCUUUAAGAGAACAGACCAUUUCUGACCUUCAGAAUACUUUACUCAGUUAGCCUGUACAUCAUUUUGCAUUUUAUGGUCAACUUAAUCAGUAUCCAUACCCCCUCCCCCCUCCCACAACUGCAAAGUUGGGAAGUGCAUAUAUCAAUUUUUGUCUUACUGUCUGUCCUAUAUAAUUCUGUAUGACUGUAUCAGCAAGUUAUUUAUUAGAUAUAACUUUUGUGUUUUUGAAAAUGUAUUAUGAACUUGUAUUGUUUUGAGCAUCAACCAAAUAAUGAAAAUUUGAAACUUGUACAUGUAGGCUUGACUUAAGGAGGAAUGCUACACAAGGAAAAUUUGUUAUGGAUGAAAAGUGGAGGAUAUGUACAUUGAAAACGUUCAAAUUUAGUUGUUUUAGUAAAUAAAAAUGUAGAUUCAAUAGAAAGCAAUUUGAACAAAAUUUAAAACCCCUGCUGGACUUGAACCCGUGAUCUACAGUUCUGCUGUCUACGUGCGAACUUACCUAUCUACUCAGCUAGGCAAUAACUUUUGAAAUUAUUAGACAAAUAUUGCUGAUAUUUAUAUUUUCAUCCAUGUUUUAAAAAUAAGUCAACCAUAUUGAGUACCUCCUUAAAGUAUAAUGGAAGGAAGUUACUCAAAUUCAAGCUUUUGUACUUUGUAGAAUCAUAUGUUUACUUAUACUUAUCUAAAAAUGUCAAGAUAUGGAGGGUUGGGUAAAAAGAGAUUAACCCACUGUCUAAGAAAAGUGUUGUGGAAAGCCGAUUUUUUAUUUUUAGGAAAUUAUGCUCAUUUUCCUACUUAAUAUUAAAUCAAUGUAGAUUUUGUUUCUUAUUGGUGAAUAUAUACCUUCUAAUAUGUCUUGGAAUUGCUCAGGUAAUUUAAGUUGAUUUGCCAGGCUUUAAAACACCUCCUGUCACAGUUAUAACCUUUUACAGCGCAUUAUACGAUAAUUAUCUCCCUUUGAAAAAAUCUUUAUUGUGAUAUUUUUGACAAUUUUUCAGUAAUAUUUCAUAAAAUAUUAGUGUUUGAUUUACACGAAUGACAUGCCUCAUGAUGCUGAAUGGUUAAAAUAUUUGUUUCAGAUUUAAAAUUCUUUCAUUGAUGGAAUAUUGUUGUAUUGUAUUUUGGGUCAAUCCUAAAAAUCGCCUAACUUUGAGAAAUCGUU